rnacentral:rRNA from 1 species
UAACGCGUGAGGAACCUGCCUUUCAGAGGGGGACAACAGCUGGAAACGGCUGCUAAUACCGCAUAACACAUAGGUGUCGCAUGGCAUUUAUGUCAAAGAUUUAUCGCUGAGAGAUGGCCUCGCGUCUGAUUAGCUAGUUGGUAGGGUAACGGCCUACCAAGGCGACGAUCAGUAGCCGGACUGAGAGGUUGGCCGGCCACAUUGGGACUGAGAUACGGCCCAGACUCCUACGGGAGGCAGCAG